rnacentral:lncRNA from 1 species
AAUGAACUACUCUUUUAGUAAACUCUCAAGUAGUUAUAACUUGUAAAAUAAUGUGAAAUUUUUAAGAUUUCAGAUGUCGUUUCUACUGAAUAUUCUAUGUGAAAUGUUUAUUUUAUUUUAUUUAUUUAAAUGUUUCUUCACAUUUUAGUUAUAGUUUUUAUUAAAUUCUAUAAUUAAGGUGUGAAUCACGUCUUAACCCAAGGUUACGUAAAUCUGUAGGUUGGGGCGUGACAUAGAG